rnacentral:rRNA from 1 species
UACGGAGGAUCCGAGCGUUAUCCGGAUUUACUGGGUGUAAAGGGAGCGUAGACGGCAUGGCAAGUCUGAUGUGAAAGCCCGGGGCUCAACCCCGGGACUGCAUUGGAAACUGCCAGGCUGGAGUGUCGGAGAGGUAAGAGGAAUUCCUAGUGUAGCGGUGAAAUGCGUAGAUAUUAGGAGGAACACCAGUGGCGAAGGCGUCUUACUGGACGAUCACUGACGUUGAGGCUCGAAAGCGUGGGGAGCAAACAGGAUUAGAUACCCCGGUAGU